rnacentral:lncRNA from 1 species
UCGGUAAUUUCAGUUUUCCGAAGGCUUUACCGAGGGCCUGUUGAGUAGUAAAAUACCGAAGGCUUUAGAUCGUCAGUAAGCGAAGUAUUAUUUAUCGAAGGCCUUUAGCCCUCGGUAAGGGGUUCGAUUAUAUGUUUUCCGAAGGCUUUAUCGAAGGCCUUUGCCCCUCGGUAAGUUGUUCGAUUAUCUGAAAUAACAACUCGCUCCCCCAUUUCGCAAAAACAAUUCUUCCCCAAAACAGCAGAAGGUAUCCACCAUCUCUGCAACUGCCCUCUACCCCAUUCGUGUUGUUUCCAAAUCCUCCACUGCAAUCGUCGUUCCCCAAUCUCCAGUGGACGAUUUCUCUGCAAACCCUCAUUCCCCAAUCCUCCAUUCUGGUCGCUCUUCAGUCGCAAGUGUCCAUUGUAGUUGCUCCUAAGGAAUCUGGUGGUUGACGACAACUAUUGUGGCGAGACUGUUGGAGGUGGUUGGCUGUCGAGGGGGUUGUCGCCAUUAUCACUAGGCAGGACGGUUGUUGCUGGGUGACGAGGGCUUCCAUUAUCGCUGCAUGACCCCGCGGCUACUGCUACGUGAGGAGGUGUUCCAUUAUCGCUAGGGAGGCUAUUGGAGGGGGUUGUCGUGGAGGUAAGUUGAAAAUUGAUAUUGUUGCAAGUUGCUUAUUGUGUGUUUUCAUACGGUCUCUGUAAUCCAAGUUGUGUUUGAUAGGGCUGAGAGGUUUCAUUCUCCUCUGCAUUCUUGCGCCAGUGGUUUUCUUCCUUGCUCGGGGACUCUACGUUGCUGGUUAGUUCGGUUAAUGUUUUAAUUUUGUUUAUUGAUUGUUGUUUUGUGCGUUUGAAGAUCUGUGUAGAUUGUAAUAUUGAGUAGUUUAGGGUUUUUGAAUGGUUUUUGGUUUAGUUGUGGUUUUAGUGUUAAGUGUCUGUGGUAGUUGUAUGUUGAGUGAUUAGUUAGAAGGGUGUGUGUGACUUUGAGAGUUGCUUUGUGAGAGUAAGUGUAAUGCUUGGACAAGUGUCUUUUGGAACCUGUGACACUCAAACCAUUCAUGCUCUGAAUUGGUGUUCCAAUUCAUCUUAUCGAUGUUGAAUGAAAUGUCAACAUCCAAUUCUUUUGAUUAGACACAAAGAAAGAGAAGAUAAUUUAGACAGGAAAAAGAUUAUAGAUUAAUAGUAAAUGGCGC